GUCCUACACUUCACUCCCCACGACUUCACGACUUCUCGUGACUCUCGGAAGUGGAACAAAGUGAGCCAAAACCACUUUACCGACACAUUCCAGCCACGAAAAACAACAAGAGGAACGCAUGAGAACUUCCUUUGUAUACGAACGUGCGUAGAUACGUGGUGGGCGGAAAAGUUUUUGCCGGAAAAGUGUCACUCAAAAACAGCAGAAGAAAACAACAGAACUUGUGGCAAGUCAAGCAGCGAACUCAAAGGGAAAUGGAAAAAUGGAAAAAGCUUAAUUAAUUGAUUGAAGCUCGAGAUGGUAACGGUUAAAUUAGGGGAACUACAAACUGAAAAAUAUAUUCUUUUAAAUCGAUUCUCUCGAUGGACAUCCUAGAGCUACUAGCACUUUGAGAAUAUGAAAUCACCUUUCCAUACUCGUACGAGAAACAGCGUAAUGAAACUGUCUGCGGUAGCUGUACACUCCAAAAGCAGCCAAAACACUCGUUGAACAAAUGGUAAAUUAAGUUUCAAAAACAGCUUCUACUCAUGGCAACUGCAGGUUGCUCUUGUCACUGUUUCUCUGUUUCUAAAAAGUCGAGCUGGGAAAAAGCAGAACCAAAUGGCUGACAAGUGCACGCCGGGCCAUGCCAGUCAAACUGCUUGACUCUUGUGCUGUCUGUGCUCCCUGGCCAUUUAACUGCUGCAACCAUCCCUGUUUCAACUGCAGUCGAGAAGCUGCCAGCAGUCCAUGGUCUGACAAAAAAGCCAGAGUACCAAGGCGAUGUCAUGGGUGGCCCUUAAUUGAAUUGAACGCGUCGGCUUCCGCCUUUAUGAUGGCUUCUGCUAUUUUUUCUGUUGUUUAAUUAUCACUUUUUUAAGACGCAUUAACAUAAAUUACAUGAAAAUAAAUAAACAUAAAUAAAUAAACAAACAAAAGAAAAAGAUACAAUUAAA